rnacentral:lncRNA from 1 species
GUAAGUUUGUAUUAUAAACUUGUUAUUGAAUAGCAUGUUCAUGGUAUUUACUAUGAAUAUUUUUGCAACAGGUUACUAUGAUUUUGUAUGAGGUUCUUAGAUUAUACCCUCCAGGAGUUGGUGUUCCUCGAAAAGUUAUCAAAGAUGUGAAACUUGGAAACCUAUCAUUUCCUGCUGGAGUGGAGAUUUUCAUAUCAACAAUUUUGGUUCACCAUGAUAGUGAGCUCUGGGGUGAUGAUGCUAAGGAGUUCAAACCUGAGAGAUUUUCUGAAGGAGUUCUGAAGGCCACGAAUGGUAGAUUUUCAUUUUUCCCCUUUGGAGGAGGUCCUAGAAUAUGCAUCGCACAAAAUUUUGCUUUGUUGGAAGCAAAGAUUGCUUUGUCGAUGAUUUUACAAUGUUUCUCGUUUGAACUUUCUCCAACCUAUACUCAUGCUCCAACUAUGGUGAUGACUAUUCAACCCCAAUAUGGCGCUCCAGUCAUUCUACAUAAGGUGGAGAAAUAUGAAUAAUAAUAGUUAUCUCUUAUUAUAUCAUUUGUGUUAUACUCUACUUGUUUGUGUCAUCAACUAUUUUGAAGUAUAAGAGAUUAAAACUGUCCUUUAUCCAAAAACAUUAGAAUUGUUUUGUUAGACUCCAUUAUAACAGCAUAGCUGUUAUAUCAUUAAUCAACGCUAUUAUUUGACACUAAGGACUAAAACAAAAACAAAAUAUAACCACCAAAAAAAAUUUCUUUAAAAGACAAGCACAAAAUAGGAUGUUUUAUACGAACAAAUUAUUAUUUAAGCCUAGUAAAAUUAUCUCUUAUUACAUGAUUUGUAUUAUAUUCUUCUUUUUCGUAUCUCUAUUAUUAGUUUAUUGUCUAAAAUAAUAAUGUGACAAAAUCAAAUUAUUUCUUUUAGGCAUGCAAGUUUAUCUAUAUAUGCCCAUCCAUGAUCUAUUUAAUUUAUAUGAAAGUUAAAGUGUAAAUUGUGGAGUUAGAAUGUCACCAUAUACUUUUUGUUAUUCUUAUCUUAUUUUUUAAGCCAUAUAAAUUAAAUUUAAAGAUUCUUAACUUCUUUCUCUUCUUUCAAAACUUCCUUCGGGUUCACUUCAUGACAUGUGAAUGCUUUAGUGAUUUGUGGUGGUAAUCACCCUUAACGUUCUUUUCUCCUUGGCGUUUAAAUUAUUACAAAUUUAACUAAAAGUGAUCAAAUAAUUUUUUUUACAUAAAAAUUAGAUAUCGUUAGAGCAUGUGAAUACUUUGUACUAGUAAUAUGGUUACAAAAAGAACCAAUUUCUUUUAUUUUAUUUCUAUACUAGAUUUUUUUAAUAAUAUAGUUACAAAAAAUCGGAUCAAUAAAAAUUUUAACUAUUUUUAAUAAACAUGUAAUAGAAAGGAAAGAUAAUGUGUCAUUGUCACAAAAUUAGUAUGGUUUAGUUGUAGUAUAUAUUUGAUGUUAAUUUGUUUUUAUUCUAUUGAAGUGAAUGUAUUGUUUAAGUUAAUGUAAUGUUAUUUUAUGUUUGAAAUUAUUUUAUGCUUAAAUUCGUACAAAUUUUAUGUUAUUCAUAUUCAAAAAUUCAAAAAUAAAAUUACCUUCUAAAAUGAAAAAAGAAGAUAAAAACUUCUCACAGUCGUUCCCGGAUCAACGUCCUCCAUAUCAAACUUAUGGAUCAACUAUAAUAUUUGUGGAUCACGUUACACGCAGAUCAAACAACAUCUGUUGGGUGCACAGCAAUCGCUUUAAAUACUCAUGAGAUAUUUUUAUCUUUUCGAUGCUGGGUGGAUCUCGCAACACCCUAAUAAUGUACCCAUAAAGCUAUAAAAUUAUUUUUAAUUUGUGCCAUGUCCUGCACGGGUAUAAUUAAAUAUUAAAGAAAUCAGAAAGGUUGAGAAAGAACCACGUACACCGCCGACAAAUGAAAGACUCACACGACAGCAACGCUUGCAGCAAUGGCUACCCCUUAUAACCAACACUAAAAUAAUGAAAAUUAAAGGAGGACAUAAAACAGAAGAUCAAUGAUGCAAUGAACGACGGGGGUGAAAAGGGACUAUAUGUAAAGAAGUACUUGAGAGACUAAUCUGCACACAGCAAUACAAAGUGAAGAAGCAGAAGCAUAUUCAGAGGUAAAUUUUAUUUUGUGCCUUUUCAAUAUUUCAAUUCAAAUAUAUUAAUAAUAUUUAUUUAUAUUUGGCAAAAAAAAUUUAAAAAUCGUCAAAAUCUUUUAGUAAUAGUUUUACAAGUAUCAAGAAAAAAAUGUGCUAAAGAUAAUAUGUGUAAUAUUGAUGAGAAAAUCCUUUCGCUUAAAAGAUCUUAUGCACCUAUUUGUCACCUUGGCUGCAAUUGUUUGUAAAUCAUUCCUUCAUAGGUUUAUAGAUCGACUGUAGUAAAGAGAGUAGUGCUAUAAUAAAAUUGACUGAUCGUCAAAAAGAGAAAGGAAGAGAGAUGUCGUUAGUUUUAAUCUUUUUUUACUAACAUUUUAACAAAAUUAAUAAUUAAUAUUUAUCAAUAAAAUAACAAACUACAAAGCAAACCAUGUCAUCCUUGUAACGGUGUCCAGAUAGAAAGCUACCCAGUGAGUCUUGGAUAUUUUUAGAACCGGAAGUAAAAACUUAAAAGAAACCCUUCGAAACGUAGUUCUUAAAUAAUUUAUUGAUAUUUUUUUUUUAUAAAUUUAUAAAUUCAACCAUAAAAAAAUAAUAUACAAAAUUCUUAUAUAUUAAAAAAUUCACCAAAAUAAAGUGAAUACUUUUUUUUCAGAUUUUUUAAAAGUUGUGAGUCUUUCAAAAUAGAAUCUCAAGCCGUCGAUUAUUUUACGCAUGUGUGUAAAAUGACACUGUACAUACCAAUGGGGAUUCAAUAGCAAAAAAUUAGGUUCGUUGUACUAACUCAACAUUGUUUUGUUAUAAUGAUUAUAUUUUUUUUCUGAUGAGUUCAUUAAUAUUUUUUUUUAUCAAUAGGAAUCAAACAUAAAUUUAUAAUAACUCACAUACCAUACUGAAUUAGACACGCUUUUGGUAUUUAUCCAUUAGUAUUUGGUAAAAGAGAAACAUAGGAAGGAAAAUCAACACAUAGAAAAUAGGCAUAAUAUAUUUGGCAAACAACCAAAUAAAUUUUAAAUUUAUAAAAUCUAUUGAUUAGUUUUACUUUACAUUUUAUUUAUAAUGGUUCUCUAAUAUGUCCUUUUCUUAUUUCUUACUACUUAUUUCUUUUAAACCAAGUAUUUAUCUUCACUUAUUUCUGUUAACUUUUUUUUUUAGAGAGAAAUGGAAGCAGCAUGGGUCAAUAUUCUGAUGCUGAUACUGAUACUGACUCUGAUAUGGGCAUGGAAGAAGCUCAACUCAUUAUGGCUCACGCCAAAGAGGCUUGAAAAGAUCUUAAGAGAACAAGGCCUUCGAGGCAGUCCAUACAGGUUUAAGGUUGGGGACACGAAGGAGACAUUGAAGAUGCAAAUGCAAGCCAUGUCCAAACCCAUGAAUCUCUUCUCUAAUGACAUAGGACCGCGUGUGUCUCCCUAUGAUCAUUACAUUGUCAACAAACAUGGUACCUUCAUGAGUAACGUUAUAUUUUUUCACUUCAUCCUCUUACAAGUUGUUUUACUAUCUUUUAUAGUAAGUAUUAAAAUAAGGUAAGUGUAUUUAAUGUCUUAAAAUAUAAAACACAUUUAAAACUUAUUAUAAAAGGUAACUGGAGUAGGAAGAUUUAGAAUUAGUUUUCUCUCCGCUUUUCUCUUUUUGCAAUUGUUAUAUCAAGGAACCAAGUUUUGUUCGGAAAUUACAUGUUUAAAAUGAUUUAAUUAUUAAUUUGGUUUCCGAAUUAUUUUAAAUAGUUCAAUUUACUUCUUAAAAUUUUAAAAGAUUCAAUUUAAUCCUUAAAUUUUUAAAAAUAAAUCAAGUUGGUCUCCAAAUUAUUUUAAAUGACUCAAUUUGAUUCUUAAAAUCUUAAAAAUUUAGGGACUAAAUUAAUUUAUUUUUAAGAAUUUGAGAAACAAAUUGAACCUUUUAAAAAUUUAAGGACCAAAUUAAAUUAAUUAAUAUAAUUUCUUAUCAAAUUGAUAAUUACCGUUUAAAAUAGACCAAAAUGUUUCAUUCACGUGGUGUUCACUUUCAUAUCUAGUUAAUUGUGUAAAAUAAAUAGAGAGAAAAGUGAGAAAGAAUGAAAUUGGGAGGAUAUAUAGAAAUAUAAGGGAAAUAGAGUAGACAAUAGUUAUUGUUUGAAUGGAUAAAAAUACAUAAGAAAAAAGGUGAAAAAAUCCAUGUGCCUGAUUUGAUGACUGAAAAAGAGAGAGUAAAAAGAAGAGUGAAAAAAUAUAUAUUAAAAAAGUAUUUCAUUCAUGUCAUAUGCAUUUUGAUUUUCUUGUGUGUGAGUGUUCAUGAGAUGUUUAGGUAAGACGAAGUGUAUGUUUGGUAACACAUUCUCUAUCUUUGACGCGGAUCACUGGAAGCAGUUCAUCUCUUAUUUCCUUGUCAUUUUAUGAAUUUGGACGUGGUUUAAUUUGCUUUAUAUCGUGGACGGUGAACGCCAAUUCAAAGACGCUAAAGGAACAUGCAUACUUGUAAUCUCAGUUCUCCUUGUUUGUCUCUGAAAAAGAACAUUGCCUUAGUCAUUAGAGACUCACCAUCAGACAGUGGAGGCAUAUAUAUAUAUAUAUAUAUAUAUAUAUAUAUUAUGGAAAAAAUAUUAACCAUUAAAUCUUAUUUUGAACUAUUAUCAAAAUAAAAACAAAACACAAAGUCACAAGUUUUUAAAAAAAUGACAACUUUUUAAAAGUUCAUAUAAUAUUAAAUUUGAAUUAUUUACGUAUGGUCACGUAGUUUAAAUUUACUCUUUUGACUCUCACUUAAUAAGUGAAAAUAAACAACUACUUUGAACUAACCUUAGUGUGUAGCUUGUACUAUACCAAAAGGUUACCAUGGUUUGUAUGUCUUUUGUCAAAUUUAAAUAGCUCGCAAAGUUGCUCAUUUUUUCAAUUCUUCAAAGUUUUCUCUUUCUUUUUCAUAUUUAAUAUAAUACAUAUUCUAAUUGUUGCUGAUGGCAUGUAGGCAAAAAUUCUUUUAUUUGGAAUGGACAGAAACCAAGGGUGACCCUCACAGAUCCCGAGCUAAUCAAAGAUGUAUUCAACAAGAUUUAUGACUUUGGAAAGCCUAAUAUGGGCCCAAAUAUCAGAUCACUUAUUCCUGGUCUUGCAAUGCAUGAGGGAGAAAAGUGGAGCAUGCAUAGAAAGAUAAUCAACCCCGCAUUUAAUUUAGAAAAGUAGAAGGUUAGUUUCCUAUUACUAAAAAAAGAUCUUAGAUAUUGGCAUGUGUGUCUUUUGAAAACAUGUCAGACAAAUAUUGAGAUUGUGCCACAAAUGUAUCUACAUUUUUUUAAUGUGAAAAUUACCUUCCUAUAAAAUGUAUCCUCUUAAAAGGAAUUACUAUCAUUAUAAAUAUAAUCUUUAACAAUAUUUUUUUAUUUAACACUUAAUAAAAAUAUUAGUAAAAUUUGUUUAUGAUAUUAAAAAAUAUUGUAAAACUAUGAAUAAAUGUUAUUAAUAUAUUUUUAUAAGAUUUAUCGAAUAUUAUGUAUAAAUCAUGUUGUUAAAGUUUUUUUGUGACAUUUUAGAUUUUAGCAACAUAUAUUAUAUAUAACAUUUGAUAAUAUAUCAUAAAAACAUAUUAAUAAUAUUUAUUCAUAAUUUGAUAAUAUUUUUUAAAUAUGACCUAAAGGCUUUUAACAACAUUUUUAUUAAAUGUUAAAUAAAAAAAUUUUAAAAGUCACAUAUAUAAUAAUGAAAACAUACUUUGCAAGUAAGAAAAAAAUUUGGUAUAUAUGGCAAAGCUUGAGUUAAGUUUAGCCAGCAACACAUAUUCUUCUACUGCAAGCAACAUCAGCUGGUCUAUAAACAUGAUGUGCAUGUCCGAAUGUGUAUGUGUUUAAUUAAUUUGAAACGCACGGAAAAUUUUAACACCUUGCUAUUUCUUCAUUACACCAUUCACAGAAUAUGUUACCACUAUUCAUCCAAUGUUGCGAUGAUCUGAUUAGCAAAUGGGAGGAAAUGCUGUCUUCAGAUGGAUCAAGUGAAAUUGACGUAUGGCCUUUUGUUAAGAAUUUGACUGCUGAUGUUAUUUCUCGAACAGCAUUUGGAAGUAGUUAUUUAGAAGGGAGAAGAAUAUUUCAACUUCUAAAAGAGAAAAUUGAACUUACACUGAAAAUGAGAGGACAGAGGUAAGACUAAUAUGUAUAUUUGAUUAUCUGAUAGACUUAAGUGAUCAAACUUAUUGGAUGAGCUUUAAUCAACUAAACUAAAGAUUAUAUUUUUUACAGCAACCAUUUUACCAUAUAUUGUGACAUGAGUAUGUGAAGGGGUAUCUCUCAAUUUAACAUUUUAAAAUCAAUGUUCCAAUUUUUACUACCGAAGGAACCAACAUUAGAAGUAUAGUUGAUGCAUCAAAGAACAUUCCCUUCAUUUCAUGAUUAUCACAGGACUGAUUAUACUUGUAGGUUGGUACCUAAAAGGAUGAUGGAAAUUGAUAGAGAUAUAAAAGCUUCACUUAUGGAUAUUAUUAACAAGAGAGACAAAGCGCUAAAGGCGGGUGAAGCCACUAAAAAUAACUUAUUAGAUAUACUUCUGGAGUCAAAUCACAAGGAAAUUGAAGAACAGGGGAACAAUAAGAAUGUUGGAAUGAAUCUUGAGGAAGUUAUUGAAGAAUGCAAGCUUUUCUACUUUGCAGGGCAGGACACCACUUCAGUUUUGCUUGUUUGGACAAUGAUAUUAUUGAGUAGGUACCCUGAUUGGCAAGCACGCGCAAGGGAGGAAGUCUCACAAGUUUUUGGCAACCAAAAACCGACUUUUGAUGGACUGAAUCAAUUAAAGAUUGUAAGUUUGUAUUAUAAACUUGUUAUUGAAUAGCAUGUUCAUGGUAUUUACUAUGAAUAUUUUUGCAACAGGUUACUAUGAUUUUGUAUGAGGUUCUUAGAUUAUACCCUCCAGGAGUUGGUGUUCCUCGAAAAGUUAUCAAAGAUGUGAAACUUGGAAACCUAUCAUUUCCUGAUGGAGUGGAGAUUUUCAUAUCAACAAUUUUGGUUCACCAUGAUAGUGAGCUCUGGGGUGAUGAUGCUAAGGAGUUCAAACCUGAGAGAUUUUCUGAAGGAGUUCUGAAGGCCACGAAUGGUAGAUUUUCAUUUUUCCCCUUUGGAGGAGGUCCUAGAAUAUGCAUCGCACAAAAUUUUGCUUUGUUGGAAGCAAAGAUUGCUUUGUCGAUGAUUUUACAAUGUUUCUCGU